GAUGAAGAACGUAGCGAAAUGCGAUAAGUAAUGUGAAUUGCAGAAUUCAGUGAAUCAUCGAAUCUUUGAACGCACAUUGCGCCCGCCAGUAUUCUGGCGGGCAUGCCUGUUCGAGCGUCAUUUCAACCAUCAAGCCCCAGGCUUGUGUUGGGGACCUGCGGCUGCCGCAGGCCCUGAAAACCAGUGGCGGGCUCGCUGUCACACCGGGCGUAGUAGAUUUUAUCUCGCUCAGGGCGUGCUGCGGGUUCCGGCCGUUAAAAAGCCUUUUUUACCCAAGGUUGACCUCGGAUCAGGUAGGAAGACCCGCUGAACUUAAGCAUAUCAAUAAGCGGAGAA
rnacentral:misc_RNA from 1 species